UCUAAUGAAAUUCACCCAAACUUUAGUCUCUUCAUUUCAAUCCGAUCCGUUUCUAGCCAAACUUUACAUUCUUGUUUCAGAUUUCUUGAUAAUUGAUGAUGAUUUGAGCAAAUUCUUCUUAUUCCCGGACAUUCGCCACAAUUUCUACUCAAACUUUACAUUUCUGAUUUAGGUUUUUGACAAUCGAUGAUUAUGUUCGCUAGUUCUUCCUAUUCCUGCGAGGCCACUAUUUCUAUGCAAAUUUCACAUAUGUUUCAGGUUUCUUGAUGAUUUAUGAUGAUGUGAACUGGUUAUGUUUCAGGUUUUUGAUGAUCGAUGAUGAUAUGAACUGGUUCUUUCUCUUCCUGUGAUAUCCGUCAUUUCACUUUGGGUGGCGUCGUGGGGCUUCUGUUCGUCUGGAAUUGCGACAGGUCGGGUUCUUCUACUUCUUGCAUUUCAAAUUACAGUGAGGUGGCCCCAAAGAUAGUGACGCCGGAAUCUAAUCCGAAAUGCAACUUCUCACACUCUCUCCGACUCCACGAGAACUGGAGAUGAAGUGAAUGCUUCUGCCAUUGCCAACGGAUUUGAUUUCUCCACCACCUUCUUCAUAAGCACUGAUGCGUAAGCAGAGCACAUUAACAACUCCUCCCCUUUUCCCUCCUUUCGUCGUCCUACUGUAAUCUCAACGUUUCUCCAGUCUCAUUCUCUGCAACUUCAAAGAAUCCUGAACGAAUAAGGUGCUCUCCUUGGAGAAUGAAUUGCAGGUGCUCUCCACUAAAGUGAAUCAAUUGGAGAAUAUCACUUAUUGAAGAUUUAAUUGAAGAUGGAAUUUGUCAAAUAUUUUUUUUAUUUCUUUUAUGCAUAGUACAUUUGAUGUUUAAAGUGUUCUUAGUAUUUGUAAUAGAAUAAAAAUAGAAAUAUACAACAUUGUAAGAUUUGUGAUGAAUUCCAAGUUAGUUAAAACUAUAUGGUCAAUAAAAUUUGUGAUUUGAAUUUAAUGGUUA